GAUGAACGCUGGCGGCGUGCCUAAUACAUGCAAGUCGAGCGAACAGAUAAGGAGCUUGCUCCUUUGACGUUAGCGGCGGACGGGUGAGUAACACGUGGAUAACCUACCUAUAAGACUGGGAUAACUUCGGGAAACCGGAGCUAAUACCGGAUAACAUAUUGAACCGCAUGGUUCAAUAGUGAAAGGCGGCUUUGCUGUCACUUAUAGAUGGAUCCGCGCCGUAUUAGCUAGUUGGUAAGGUAACGGCUUACCAAGGCAACGAUACGUAGCCGACCUGAGAGGGUGAUCGGCCACACUGGAACUGAGACACGGUCCAGACUACUACGGGAGGCAGCAGUAGGGAAUCUUCCGCAAUGGGCGAAAGCCUGACGGAGCAACCCCGCGUGAGUGAUGAAGGUCUUCGGAUCGUAAAACUCUGUUAUCAGGGAAGAACAAAUGUGUAAGUAACUGUGCACAUCUUGACGGUAACUGAUCAGAAAGCCACGGCUAACUACGUG
rnacentral:rRNA from 1 species